AGGUCUGCAUUCAAGGGGGCAACUUCGUGUCACCGUGACCACCUUGAUCUCCCAUAGAGAACAGCUCGGCAAGAGAAACAUUAUGGAAAUAUUCCAGAAAACCUUACUUCUCCAUUUAGCCACAGGGAAGAGGUGGGAAGAAGAUCUGAGCUUGAAACCUUAAACAUUUAGGAUUGGAGGAGCUAGUCUCAAUAUUACUUCUAAAUUUCCUCCAACAGUGGGUGUUCUGUGCCAGAAAAGUGUCUCCCAUUCACUGGAUCAUCAUCUUGGAACACCUCUCUUGUUCAAUCUCUGUUUUAGUCCAUUUUUUAUUCGGAAAGGGGAUAAAUCACUCAAUAUAUAAAUUCUGUGAGAAGCAACACUAGAAUCUUGUGCAGAACCAUCAUUAAUUGAACAAUUCUCCAAUAAGGCAAAAUAUACUGAAGUACUCUGUAAAGGCUCAGUGAUAUUUACAAAGGCCAAAAUAAAUCUAUAAAAGUCUGGAGCCUGGAAGUCCAAGAUCAAGAUGCCAGCAUGGUUUGGAUUCUGGUGAGCACUCUCUUCCCAGCUUAUAGACGGCCACCUUCUGCUGUGUCCUCAGGUGGCAGAGAGGAGGUGAACUUCACAACCUUCUACUCUACCAUCUAGAUACCUCCUCCCUAUCUUGAUUCUGAAGUGUCAAAAUCCCUUAAAAAUUCAUUGAAAACAAUGUCCACCAGUACAUCUGCAAAGGAGAUUGUUUCAGUAAAAUAUAAUACAGCAUUGAAUUAAAAUAUCAGAGUUCCCAAAAGUGAAAAAUCCAGAUGCAAGAAAAAAAAUGUGAGCUGCAUUACCUAUGUUAUAUAAGUAA